UGCAGGCACUAUGUAGCUUUACAGAAAACCUACCAAGCCAAGGCUGAGGCUGAUUUUCUAGUAUUGACCAAAGGGUUAGGACUCUUCUAAAGAGAAUUAGUAGAGAUCCUAGUAGCAACUCAAAGGCAACUGUUAUAAGUUUCUGCAAGAAUGCUAGAAAACUCAAAGUAGAUUUCCAAGGACUGUCUUCUUGAUGCUCUCUUUGGCUGCUCAGAUGGGCUACAUGCACUUUGGCACAGUCAAGAUAUAUGGUUCUGAGGCUGCCCUUAUAAACACUUUAACAGAGACGUACGUUUCAAGAUGGGACUAUAAAAAAGAGGACAUUUUUGUUUCCUCUAAAUUAUGGGGUAGUCAUCACCGUGACCCUAUUUCAGCUUUGAGACAAACUCUAGAGUAAGCACAUAUACUAGAUUACUAUACCUACUAGCAACAAAUUCAUUUCUUAAUCUACUAGAAUUAGAUAUGGAAGAAUUCGAUUAUUUGGUUUAGGAUUAUUGGUCUCAAUAAACCUUUUCAUUGUUCCCCACAUUUUUAUGUAAAUAUUGAGUCUUUAGCUUCAUUUUGAUAUUGGCUUUUGCUAUUACUAUGUUUGUCUCACUUUCUGCAAUCAAGUUUAUGUUUUUGCUGUUAAGGUUUGGAAUUCUCAACAGUAUAUGUUAUGGGUUGGCAUCAAGUUUGG